GCAUGUGAGGGCAAUCUAGCUGUGACAUGUGUCACCCCGCUGAUCGCUAGGGUUGAUUUGGCUGAUCUAGCUGGCUAGUCGGGUGUUCUCUUCCUUCCUCACUGCUCCAUCUGCAUCCCUCUCAAAGCUGCGUGAGAGGACCGGUCUUUGGUCCAGGAUAUACUAGUAGUUGCGCUCCCCUGCUAGAACCUCCAAACAAGCUCUCAAGGUCCAAAGUAUAGCUAAUAAUUUUGGGAGCAAAAGAAGAUAAAAAAACAAAAGAAUUCAAUGUAUAAAGGCAUUUUAACAGAUGGUAAGUUUUCUUUUUGU
ensembl:misc_RNA 7SK 7SK RNA